rnacentral:rRNA from 1 species
CGUGGCGGGUGCUUACCAUGCAAGUUGAACGGAGUAUGUUGGAAGGGUAACCGGAAGGCAUAUUUAGUGGCGAACGGGUGAGUAAUGCAUGAGAACGUAUCCUCAAGAGGGGGACAACAUUGGGAAACCGAUGCUAAUACCCCAUAAGCCGGGAGGUAAAAGGAGCAAUCCGCUUGAGGAGCGGUUCAUGUCCUAUCAGCUAGUUGGUGAGGUAACGGCUCACCAAGGCGAAGACGGGUAGCCGGCCUGAGAGGGUGAACGGCCACACUGGAACUGAGAGACGGUCCAGACUCCUACGGGAGGCAGCAGUGGGGAAUAUUGGGCAAUGGGGGAAACCCUGACCCAGCGACGCCGCGUGAGGGAAGAAGGCCUUAGGGUCGUAAACCUCUGUUGUGUGGGAAGAAGAGCGUGACGGUACCACACGAGGAAGUCCCGGCUAACUACGUGCCAGCAGCCGCGGUAAUACGUAGGGGACGAGCGUUGUCCGGAUUUACUGGGCGUAAAGGGCGCGUAGGCGGUUUUGUAAGACAGGCGUGAAAUCCCCGGGCUCAACCUGGGAAUGGCGCUUGUGACUGCAAAGCUGGAGUGCGGCAGAGGGGGAUGGAAUUCCGCGUGUAGCAGUGAAAUGCGUAGAUAUGCGGAGGAACACCGAUGGCGAAGGCAAUCCCCUGGGCCUGCACUGACGCUCAUGCACGAAAGCGUGGGGAGCAAACAGGAUUAGAUACCCUGGUAGUCCACGCCCUAAACGAUGUCAACUGGUUGUUGGGUCUCUUCUGACUCAGUAACGAAGCUAACGCGUGAAGUUGACCGCCUGGGGAGU